AUACGUAGGGGGCGAGCGUUGUCCGGAAUGAUUGGGCGUAAAGGGCGCGUAGGCGGCCCGGUAAGUCUGGAGUGAAAGUCCUGUUUUUAAGAUGGGAAUUGCUUUGGAUACUGUCGGGCUUGAGUGCAGGAGAGGUAAGUGGAAUUCCCAGUGUAGCGGUGAAAUGCGUAGAGAUUGGGAGGAACACCAGUGGCGAAGGCGACUUACUGGACUGUAACUGACGCUGAGGCGCGAAAGUGUGGGGAGCAAACAGGAUUAGAUACCCUGGUAGUCCACACUGUAAACGAUGAAUGCUAGGUGUAGGGGGUAUCGACCCCUUCUGUGCCGCAGGCAACACAAUAAGCAUUCCGCCUGGGGAGUACGGCCGCAAGGUUGAAACUCAAAUGAAUUGACGGGG
rnacentral:rRNA from 1 species